rnacentral:rRNA from 1 species
CAUGCAAGUCGAACGGAAAGUGCUCUUCGGAGUGACUCGAGUGGCGAACGGGUGAGUAACACGUGGGUGAUCUGCCCUGCACUUUGGGAUAAGCCUGGGAAACUGGGUCUAAUACCGAAUAGGACCACGCGCUUCAUGGUGUGUGGUGGAAAGCUUUUGCGGUGUGGGAUGGGCCCGCGGCCUAUCAGCUUGUUGGUGGGGUAAUGGCCUACCAAGGCGACGACGGGUAGCCGGCCUGAGAGGGUGACCGGCCACACUGGGACUGAGAUACGGCCCAGACUCCUACGGGAGGCAGCAGUGGGGAAUAUUGCACAAUGGGCGCAAGCCUGAUGCAGCGACGCCGCGUGAGGGAUGACGGCCUUCGGGUUGUAAACCUCUUUCAACUAUGACGAAGCGCAAGUGACGGUAGUAGUAGAAGAAGGACCGGCCAACUACGUGCCAGCAGCCGCGGUAAUACGUAGGGUCCGAGCGUUGUCCGGAAUUACUGGGCGUAAAGAGCUCGUAGGUGGUUUGUCGCGUUGUUCGUGAAAACUCACAGCUUAACUGUGGGCGUGCGGGCGAUACGGGCAGACUGGAGUACUGCAGGGGAGACUGGAAUUCCUGGUGUAGCGGUGGAAUGCGCAGAUAUCAGGAGGAACACCGGUGGCGAAGGCGGGUCUCUGGGCAGUAACUGACGCUGAGGAGCGAAAGCGUGGGGAGCGAACAGGAUUAGAUACCCUGGUAGUCCACGCCGUAAACGGUGGGUACUAGGUGUGGGUUUCCUUCCUUGGGAUCCGUGCCGUAGCUAACGCAUUAAGUACCCCGCCUGGGGAGUACGGCCGCAAGGCUAAAACUCAAAAAAAUUGACGGGGGCCCGCACAAGCGGCGGAGCAUGUGGAUUAUUUCGAUGCAACGCGAAGAAC